CCCUUAGAUGUUCUGGGCCGCACGUGCGCUACACUGACGGAGGCAGCGAGCAUGUCCUUCGCCGAGAGGUGUGGGGAAUCUUGUGAGUCUCCGUCGUGCUGGGGAUAGAUGGUUGCAAUUGUCGAUCUUGAACGAGGAAUUCCUAGUAAGCGCGAGUCAUCAGCUCGCGCUGAUUACGUCCCUGCCCUUUGUACACACCGCCCGUCGCUACUACCGAUUGGAUGGCUUAGCGAGAAUUUUGGAUCGGAGCCCGGGUGGUCGGCAACGGUCGCCCGGGAGAUCUGAGAAAUCAUUCCAGCUUGGUCAUCUAGAGGAAGUAAAAGUCGUAACA
rnacentral:rRNA from 1 species